AAGUCGUAGCAAGGUUUCCGUAGGUGAACCUGCGGAAGGAUCAUUAUCCAAAACAUUAAAACAACCCUGUGAACCUUCAGCGUGUUCUUGCAGGACAUCAAAACAGUAAUCCCGAGUAAAAUCAGCUAAAGAAUUACAGAUUUUGAUUUUGGGAAGUUCUGUGUGAACGUGGACGCUGCAAUUGAGCGCUAGAUAACCCUAGAGCACUCCCCUGUCUGAAAGCGGCAGGGAUCAAUGUUCAGGUGUAGGUCCACACGACCGGCGACCGGGGUGGAGACGAAAGCCCCUAUGUACCCGGACGAAAGCUGACUCGUCAGGAUAUCUUGGUUCUC
rnacentral:misc_RNA from 1 species